AGUGCUCCUUGAGGCGUUGCAGCCCAUCGUGUGGUGGUGCUGUGUCAUGAGGAGCACAGAGAGACGGUGGAGGUCUGCACUGGGACUCUUUUGUAGUAGAGCUCUCGGAGUGAAAUCACCACCAACAAA
rnacentral:snoRNA from 1 species